UAGGGAAUCUUCGGCAAUGGACGGAAGUCUGACCGAGCAACGCCGCGUGAGUGAAGAAGGUUUUCGGAUCGUAAAGCUCUGUUGUAAGAGAAGAACGAGUGUGAGAGUGGAAAGUUCACACUGUGACGGUAUCUUACCAGAAAGGGACGGCUAACUACGUGCCAGCAGCCGCGGUAAUACGUAGGUCCCGAGCGUUGUCCGGAUUUAUUGGGCGUAAAGCGAGCGCAGGCGGUUAGAUAAGUCUGAAGUUAAGGGCUGUGGCUUAACCAUAGUAGGCUUUGGAAACUGUUUAACUUGAGUGCAAGAGGGGAGAGUGGAAUUCCAUGUGUAGCGGUGAAAUGCGUAGAUAUAUGGAGGAACACCGGUGGCGAAAGCGGCUCUCUGGCUUGUAACUGACGCUGAGGCUCGAAAGCGUGGGGAGCAAACAGGAUUAGAUACCCUGGUAGUCCACGCUGUAAACGACGAGUGCUAGGUGUUAGACCCUUUCCGGGGUUUAGUGCCGUAGCUAACGCAUUAAGCACUCCGCCUGGGGAGUACGACCGCAAGGUUG
rnacentral:rRNA from 1 species